rnacentral:rRNA from 1 species
UGAACGCUAGCUACAGGCUUAACACAUGCAAGUCGAGGGGAAACGACAUCGAAAGCUUGCUUUUGAUGGGCGUCGACCGGCGCACGGGUGAGUAACGCGUAUCCAACCUGCCCACCACUUGGGGAUAACCUUGCGAAAGUAAGACUAAUACCCAAUGACGUCUCUAGAAGACAUCUGAAAGGGAUUAAAGAUUUAUCGGUGAUGGAUGGGGAUGCGUCUGAUUAGCUUGGUGGGCGGGGGUAACGGCCCACCAAGGCGACGAUCAGUAGGGGUUCUGAGAGGAAGGUCCCCCACAUUGGAACUGAGACACGGUCCAAACUCCUACGGGAGGCAGCAGUGAGGAAUAUUGGUCAAUGGGCGAGAGCCUGAACCAGCCAAGUAGCGUGCAGGAUGACGGCCCUAUGGGUUGUAAACUGCUUUUAUAAGGGAAUAAAGUGAGUCUCGUGAGACUUUUUGCAUGUACCUUAUGAAUAAGGACCGGCUAAUUCCGUGCCAGCAGCCGCGGUAAUACGGAAGGUCCGGGCGUUAUCCGGAUUUAUUGGGUUUAAAGGGAGCGUAGGCCGGAGAUUAAGCGUGUUGUGAAAUGUAGACGCUCAACGUCUGCACUGCAGCGCGAACUGGUUUCCUUGAGUACGCACAAAGUGGGCGGAAUUCGUGGUGUAGCGGUGAAAUGCUUAGAUAUCACGAAGAACUCCGAUUGCGAAGGCAGCUCACUGGAGCGCAACUGACGCUGAAGCUCGAAAGUGCGGGUAUCGAACAGGAUUAGAUACCCUGGUAGUCCGCACGGUAAACGAUGGAUGCCCGCUGUUGGUCUGAAUAGGUCAGCGGCCAAGCGAAGGCAUUAAGCAUCCCACCUGGGGAGUACGCCGGCAACGGUGAAACUCAAAGGAAUUGACGGAAGG